UAGGGAAUCUUCCGCAAUGGACGCAAGUCUGACGGAGCAACGCCGCGUGAGUGAAGAAGGUUUUCGGAUCGUAAAACUCUGUUGUUAGAGAAGAACAAGUGCUAGAGUAACUGUUAGCGCCUUGACGGUAUCUAACCAGAAAGCCACGGCUAACUACGUGCCAGCAGCCGCGGUAAUACGUAGGUGGCAAGCGUUGUCCGGAUUUAUUGGGCGUAAAGCGAGCGCAGGCGGUUCCUUAAGUCUGAUGUGAAAGCCCCCGGCUCAACCGGGGAGGGUCAUUGGAAACUGGGGAACUUGAGUGCAGAAGAGGAGAGUGGAAUUCCAUGUGUAGCGGUGAAAUGCGUAGAUAUAUGGAGGAACACCAGUGGCGAAGGCGACUCUCUGGUCUGUAACUGACGCUGAGGCCCGAAAGCGUGGGUAGCAAACAGGAUUAGAUACCCUGGUAGUCCACGCCGUAAACGAUGAGUGCUAAGUGUUGGAGGGUUUCCGCCCUUCAGUGCUGCAGUUAACGCAUUAAGCACUCCGCCUGGGGAGUACGACCGCAAGGUUG
rnacentral:rRNA from 1 species